rnacentral:lncRNA from 10 species
GAUUUCCUUCACAGUUGAUUAGGCUUCUGUUUUACUGCUUUGAAGAUUUUUUCCUUCACAUUGACAUUGGAGGAUGUGAUGACUAUGUGCCUUGGUCACUGCCUCCUUUUUGUCAGUAGAUGGAGCCUAAGCCAAGGUUUGCCUUGGCUCUAGCAAAUGAUCAGAUGUGUGCCCAUCUGGAAUAGUUUCUGUCUUUUCAAUGAAGUAUAUUCCUCUCCCACCAAGAAAUUUCACUCUGGUAGAAGACUCCUGCCACGACCACCAAGCUUUCUCAAAGGGAUUAUGAAGCUGUCUAUGUGAUGCUAUCUUUUCAAUGAAAAAGAAUGAAGAAAAGAAACUGCAGUCUGCCCUGAGCAGCUCCAUUUCUGCAGAGAAGUUCCCUUCACCGCAUCCGUCUUCUGCCAAACUGAAGGUUGCUCCAGGCCACUGAGUUGCCUGCCAUCCAAAGGGGGUGGGCGGGAUUG